rnacentral:rRNA from 1 species
AUCUUGGUUCAGGAUGAACGCUGGCGGCGUGCCUAACACAUGCAAGUCGAGCGAUUACUUCGGUAAGAGCGGCGGACGGGUGAGUAACGCGUGGGUAACCUGCCUCAUACACAUGGAUAACAUACCGAAAGGUAUGCUAAUACAGGAUAAUAUAAGAGAUUCACAUGGAUUUCUUAUCAAAGCUCCGGCGGUAUGAGAUGGACCCGCGUCCGAUUAGCUAGUUGGUAAGGUAAUGGCUUACCAAGGCGACGAUCAGUAGCCGACCUGAGAGGGUGAUCGGCCACAUUGGAACUGAGACACGGUCCAAACUCCUACGGGAGGCAGCAGUGGGGAAUAUUGCACAAUGGGCGAAAGCCUGAUGCAGCAACGCCGCGUGAGUGAUGAAGGCCUUCGGGUCGUAAAACUCUGUCCUCAAGGAAGAUAAUGACGGUACUUGAGGAGGAAGCCCCGGCUAACUACGUGCCAGCCGCCGC